GUCUGGGCUGCCCCUCAGAAUCAGUGACCUCCUACAAGUUUUCCUGACAGACUGGGUCUCAGGGAACAUCUGGAACAGUCCUAAUGGGGGUUGUUUUCAGCGGAUGUUGGACCUACCACCAGCCUUGGGGGCCUCAAAGAUUCAUCUGAACCUGGCAUGGUUACCUCGAAGGAACACGUGACCUGUCUCCUGUGUGUUUCUGUGGGCGUUGGAACGGAGCGUGUAUCAUGCUUUACGGAAAUUCCGGAAUCUGGGAAUGCUAGUGAGCAAAUAAUAAUCUAAAAAGGGAGCAUGAGUGAAGCUUAGUUCCCGAAGGUCUUGGAACCCACACGAAAGAGCUUGAACUUGAUCCGGUAGGCAUUCGUGUGUCACUGGAGGAGCAGAGGAACGUCACUGGAAUUUAUAUGUAUGCCUAGAAUCCUUCUCUUUUGAGGAUGUUAUGUAUUUCCAUGGACAAAAUUAAAUUAAAGUUCUGUCUUCUAGACAGUUUUUUCCUUUAUCUAAUUUUGUCUGUCUUGCUUGC
rnacentral:lncRNA from 1 species